rnacentral:tRNA from 1 species
GGGGGUGUAGCUCAGCAGUAGAGUACUUGCCUAGCAUGCAUGAGGCCCUGGGUUCAAUCCCCAGCACCACAA